rnacentral:rRNA from 1 species
ACGGGAGGCAGCAGUGGGGAAUAUUGGACAAUGGGGGAAGCCCUGAUCCAGCGACGCCGCGUGAGUGAAGAAGUAUUUCGGUAUGUAAAGCUCUAUCAGCAGGGAAGAUAAUGACGGUACCUGACUAAGAAGCCCCGGUUAACUACGUGCCAGCAGCCGCGGUAAUACGGAGGGGGCAAGCGUUAUCCGGAUUUACUGGGUGUAAAGGGAGCGUAGACGGUAUGGCAAGUCUGAUGUGAAAACCCGGGGCUCAACCCCGGGACUGCAUUGGAAACUGUCAAACUAGAGUGCAGGAGGGGUAGUGGAAUUCCUAGUGUAGCGGUGAAAUGCGUAGAUAUUAGGAGGAACACCGGUGGCGAAGGCGGCUUACUGGACUGUAACUGACGUUGAGGCUCGAAAGCGUGGGGAGCAAACAGGAUUAGAUACCCUGGUA